rnacentral:piRNA from 1 species
UAUGAGGUCAUCACAUUUAGAAGAAAUGA